rnacentral:lncRNA from 1 species
GCUGAUGAAAUGCGAUGGUCCUUUAUCCCAGAAAAAUUGUCAAAUGCACAUGCGUACAAAGAUAUUUGCUCUCAGUUUCAGAGGGUCCCUAAAGGCCUAAAGUGCACUGUGAGCUGCCUGGGGACGGCUCCAUGGCCCUGGGAUGAAGCCCCACGAUUGCCAGUCCACAGAUGGCAUGAGAAUGGGUCUAACAGGCCUGUGCCCUGGGACUGCCGGCAGGACUCAGUGGCAAGUUCUCCGAGUGUGGAGCACGACGCC